rnacentral:tRNA from 1 species
GGGCCUUUAGCUUAAUGGUAGAGCACCCGGUUUGCAUCCGGGAGAUACGAGUUCGAUUCUCGUAAGGUCCA